rnacentral:lncRNA from 1 species
CACCCCUCCGGCCCCCGCCGGAAAGAGGACCUGGAGGAAAAGACCCCUCAGGCUCCGGCCGCAGCUCCACCCGCAGGGGCCGUGGGAAGCGGGCGCUCCGGGGAGGAUGCCGCGCCCAGUAGGGGUCGACCCGAAGAGGGGGUCCCCUCCGGGGGGGGACCUGCCCGGGGCUGGGCGAGGGUAUGAGUUCCCGGCUCCCCCACAUCCAUCACCCUCAGGCCACGCUGAGCUUCCUGGACGCGGAAGCCUAGGCCCCAGCACCGCUGCACCUGCCGGCCGGGCACCCCACUAACGCGGCAUCCCGAGAAGGGCCGACUUCCAGGACGACGCAGCUGCGUGCACACAGCCCCCCUUGGCCCGGUGCGGCGGCCCGCAGGGGAGAACGAGCUUGCAGGGUGCGGGUGCGGGCCGCUGGGGCCGAUCUGGCGUCGCAGAACCCGGGGUCCACACCGUCCAGGCUGCGGCCGCGACGACCCCCUGCCAGGCGCCGGUCUCCUCCGGGAGGGCUCCAGCCCGCGCCACCUCCAGGCACAGGGCGCCCUCGUAACUCCCAAUGAAAGUCCUGCGGGAAACGGUUCCCGACCUCGCCAGGCUGGGGGCAGAAGCGACGGGAUGACGCGGAUUGUAAUCGGAAGGCUGGAGUGCAAUGGCGCGAUCUCGGCUCACCGCGACCUCUGCCUCCCGGGUUCCAGCGAUUCUCCUGCCUCAGCCUCCCGAGUAGGUGGGAUUACAGGCACCUGCCACCAUGCCCGGCUCAUUUUUGUAUUUUUAGUAGAGUCGGGGUUUCACCAUGUUAGCCAGCCUGGUUUCGAACUCCUGACCUCAAAUGAUCUGCCUGCCUUGGCCUCCGAAAGUGCUGGGAUUACAGGUGUGAGCCACCGCGCCUGGCCUAUCACAAUUCUUGAUUGUUUAAAGUGCAAUUAUUUGGAGAAAAUAAUUUUAAAUGUUCUCUGGGAAUUUAUUGUAGAAAGCAGUUAGACUUUUACCAGUGGUCACAACUUCACUGAUGAGAAUGAUAACCCAUUAAUAAAACAGCCCUCUUCUUCUGAGACUUGAUUUUGAAUAUUCUGAUCUAGAUAGGCAGAUUCUAAAGCUACUCAACACCCCGAACCCUGUGACCACAUCUCCCAGAGCAGGGUACUGGGACUGGUUUCCGUUCCCUUGGCAUGUCCCUGAGGCAAUGCUUGAAGACACCUGUAAUUGCCACAAGACACAUUUUCCUAACCCCCAGGCUGCCAGUCAAUUGCUAGUUACCAGCUUCUGAAAACCAUACAGGGAAGGGAUUAAGAAGUGGGCUCUGGAAUUAAGCCACCUCGUUCAGUUCCUGGCCCUGCCACUCACUAAGGGAUAUUGAGCAAGUUACUUAGCUUCUGUGCCUGGAGUCUUACCCAAAACAUGCCGGUGAUAAUGACAGUGCCCGCUGUGAGGGUGAGGACCAAAGGCUCUAACACGGGGAUCCCGCUGGGCACAGUCAGGGUGAGCUGCCCUGCUAGCCUGCUGCCUAGUGUCCUG